AUUAAACGCUGGCGGCAUGCCUUACACAUGCAAGUCGAACGGCAGCACGGGGGCGACCCUGGUGGCGAGUGGCGGACGGGUGAGUAAUACAUCGGAACGUAUCCUGGAGUGGGGGAUAACGUAGCGAAAGUUACGCUAAUACCGCAUAUACUGUGAGCAGGAAAGCAGGGGCUCGCAAGACCUUGCGCUCUGGGAGCGGCCGAUGUCGGAUUAGCUAGUUGGUGGGGUAAAGGCCUACCAAGGCGACGAUCCGUAGCGGGUCUGAGAGGAUGAUCCGCCACACUGGGACUGAGACACGGCCCAGACUCCUACGGGAGGCAGCAGUGGGGAAUUUUGGACGAAUGGGCGGGAAGCCUGAUCCACGCCAUGCCGCGUGAGUGAAGAAGGACC
rnacentral:rRNA from 1 species